AGUGAACGCUGGCGGCGUGCCUAAUACAUGCAAGUCGAACGGAGAUUAAGUAGCUUGCUAUUUAAUCUUAGUGGCGCACGGGUGAGUAAUAUAUAGCUAACUUGCCCAUUACUAAGGGACAACAGUUGGAAACGACUGCUAAUACCUUAUACUCCGUAUCUAUAUAAGUAGAUACGGGAAAGUUUUUCGGUAAUGGAUAGGGCUAUAUCGUAUCAGCUAGUUGGUAAGGUAAUGGCUUACCAAGGCUAUGACGCGUAACUGGUCUGAGAGGAUGAUCAGUCACACUGGAACUGAGACACGGUCCAGACCCCUACGGGAGGCAGCAGUAGGGAAUAUUGCUCAAUGGGGGAAACCCUGAAGCAGCAACGCCGCGUGGAGGAUGACACUUUUCGGAGCGUAAACUCCUUUUCUUGGGAAAGAAUUAUGACGGUACCCAAGGAAUAAGCACCGGCUAACUCCGUG
rnacentral:rRNA from 1 species